rnacentral:rRNA from 1 species
UACGAAGGGGGCUAGCGUUGCUCGGAAUUACUGGGCGUAAAGCGCACGUAGGCGGAUAUUUAAGUCAGGGGGUGAAAUCCCAGAGCUCAACUCUGGAACUGCCUUUGAUACUGGGUAUCUUGAGUAUGGAAGAGGUAAGUGGAAUUGCGAGUGUAGAGGUGAAAUUCGUAGAUAUUCGCAGGAACACCAGUGGCGAAGGCGGCUCACUGGUCCGAUACUGACGCUGAGGUGCGAAAGCGUGGGGAGCAAACAGG